GAUCCCACGAUUCAACAGCAUUUAUUGCCAGUGUUAGACAAGGGGUAACAAAAUUAGGAUUUUAAAAAGUAAUCAUAAGAUACCUGGGGGAGCAGCAAAGCUGGGAGCUUGGGGAUUCAUCUUCACACCAACCUAUAGAACCCUGCUCAUACUCUCAGGUCCUGUACCACCAGGCUGUGCUGGGAAGUGGGGAAGCAAAAGUCCCUUUAGUAACAGCAGGACAAAGUAGCAGGGUUUGGGAUUAUCCUUUCUGCAGGGGGAACCCGUGAGCCCGGCUUGCAAACGCCCCAGCUGCCCUCCAUCUCUCACACGUGCAUACAGUUAUCCCAUCAUUCUUCACUUCAUUAGCUGCUGGUGGGAGAGAAAACUCCCUUUGAACCUCUGUGUUUUAUACUGGGUUUAUUUUGAUUCCUGUGACUCCACCAGCCAGGGAUGGCACCGACCAGCAUCUUUGGAGUCGUCCUUCGUCGUCAGAAGAAAACGUUCGGCAAAUACAAGCAGGAAAAUAACUUCUCGAUUCUGAUGUGAACUGGGGGGCCGGGAAGACUUGAUUCUAAGGGAAACUGCUGAGGAUCUGCACCCAUCGAUACUGCAGGUAUAAAACACACCAGGAGAUUCCCAAAGAAAUGUGAGAUGAGGGUCCUGGUCAGCCCAUACCCCCACCUGCUGCUGCCUUGCACAUAACCCCGUAAGAAAGGCUCCGUUUGCUCCAUGCAGGGGGUGAGGAGGCGUAGCAAGUGCAGAUCAAAACCUCUACCUUUCCCUUGU
rnacentral:lncRNA from 1 species